rnacentral:rRNA from 1 species
AACGUAGGAGGCUAGCGUUAUUCGGAUUUAUUGGGCGUAAAGCGCGUGCAGGCGGUCUAGCAAGUUGGAUGUGAAAGCUCCUGGCUCAACUGGGAGAGGUCGUUCAAUACUGUUAGACUAGAGAAUGGGAGAGGGAGGUGGAAUUCCGGGUGUAGUGGUGAAAUGCGUAGAUAUCCGGAGGAACACCAGUGGCGAAAGCGGCCUCCUGGACCAUUUCUGACGCUAAGACGCGAAAGCUAGGGUAGCAAACGGGAUUAGAAACCCUUGUAGUCC